GAGGGUAUAGCUCAGUGGUAGAGCCCCCUGCUUAGCAGGCAUGAGGGCCUGGGUUCAAUCCCCAGUACCUCCA
rnacentral:tRNA from 1 species